rnacentral:rRNA from 1 species
CGAACGCUGGCGGCGCGUUUUAAGCAUGCAAGUCGAACGGUAGAGUUACUUCGGUAACUUGAGAGUGGCGAACGGGUGAGUAACACGUAGAUGAUCUGCCUUGAAGUUGGGGAUAGCCUAUAGAAAUAUGGGGUAAUACCGAAUAAUUUCUUAAGUCUUUGGAUUUUUGAGGAAAGGGGCUUCGGCCUCGCUUUAAGAUGAGUCUGCGGUCUAUUAGCUUGUUGGUAGGGUAAAGGCCUACCAAGGCGACGAUAGAUAGCCGGCCUGAGAGGGUGACCGGCCACAUUGGGACUGAGACACGGCCCAAACUCCUACGGGAGGCAGCAGCUAAGAAUCUUCCGCAAUGGGCGCAAGCCUGACGGAGCGACGCCGCGUGGACGAAGAAUGCCGAGAGGUUGUAAAGUCCUUUUAUAUGCGAAGAAUAAUGUCUGUAGGUAAUGACAGACAGAUGACGUUAGCUUAUGAAUAAGCUCCGGCCAAUUAC